UGUGUUUCAAAAGCCCUCAUUCUGACUCUGCCUGAUCUGCUACUGAAAUGUUAAUUAUAUGCCUAAUCUUCUCUUGCAAGCAAAGGCAGCAGAGUUGCUAAAGAUCAUAGCAGGUAAAAGCCUUCAAGGAGAGGGCUCAGAAAAGUCACAAGGUCUUUGACUUUGAAGAGUGGAACAAGAGGGCAACAUGUUUUCUAGUAAGUAAAGUAAGUGAGGCUAUGGAGUAGGUUUCAGAGUGGCACUUUCAAUCUUACUCGGACAUGUCAAAGUCUUUACAAAGGCUUCUUCUAGACCUGUAAGCCUAGAAUUAAUAUAAACGCUCACCUAGGUCAAAUUCAAUGAUAUUUAUCUUAAAGGACUUUCAAAUCUAAGUGGGUUUCAAUAAGGCAAACCCUUCUGAGUCUUUUAUUUCCCUAAGCAUAAAAUUCUAUCUUCUCUACCUUCUGUACUUCUCAGCAUUAGCAAAGGAAUCUCAUGAUAAUUGAAUUCAAUAGUAGUUUAUCUGAUGCCAACUAUUUUCCCGUCUCUAUGCUGGGCCCUGGGUACACAACAAUGAAAACAAUGUCCUCCUCUCCACUACCCAGGCUGCCUUCUCCUCUAAAUUGAACAAUUGUCUGUGAUUCACCAACAACAAGAACUUUUCUUUACUUACCUACCUAAAAUAUAUAAACACAAUUGACAACUUUAGGCAUGUUCUUUCAAUUGGAGGACAAUUACAAAUAGUUGUCCUUUGUAUUGAUGAAAAGGCUAGUGGCAAGGUUGGUUGUGGCCUGGGCAGCAGGCUAGAUGGGCCUCUCAGGAGGACUUGCUAGGUUGCAGUGCCCCAGAGCAAUUUAUGACAUAAAAUCUGUAAUAUUUGAGAGAUAAUUGUCACAUCUUAUAAUCAAGAUCAAAUAACUGGGUUCUCCUUUUGUCUGCAAAUGAUGAUUGUGCUUGCCCACGGUGAAGCCGACCUGCGUGUCAAGGAGCUCGAUGAGGAUGGAAUCCCAGUGCUGGCUGCCAGGGUGAGGGUCAUUUUGGUUGCAGGCGAGGGUGAUAGAAUGUUACCAAAA
rnacentral:lncRNA from 1 species